GUGGGCUAUUUAUUUAUUUAUAGUGUUAUGGCAGACGCGAAACACACUUUCAAGAAAUAAACUCGUGUUCUAUUAGACAUUUAACAGUUGCUGAGGAGAAAUCAGAACAUUAUUGGUAAAUAAAUCAGUGAAAUAAUUGGUUUGCAGUCAACUUAAAGCUCGAGACUUGAGUUGCUCGACUGACCCCCUAAAGCAGCAGAGGUCUCUAACCGCCGAGAACCGGUUCGGCACGGAAUUUUAAAGACAAUUAUUCUUCACCGGAUCACUGACUUGAUUCAAUGUGUUAAAGGCGUUACUCAAGGCAAUAAAGGGUCAAAUAAAAUAUGGUUAAUUGUGGUGUAAUUAAAUUUCAGUGAGCGUUUGAAGUUAAUUCUGAAUAAUUAGGCAAAAUUACAGCACAAAAUCAUAUAAAACUGUACACUUUGUAAGCAAAUAUUUUGAUGUGUAUUUUUUGAAAUAAAAUUUAAUAAAUAUUUAAAAA
rnacentral:lncRNA from 1 species